UACGUAGGUGGCAAGCGUUGUCCGGAAUUAUUGGGCGUAAAGCGCGCGCAGGUGGUUUCCUUAAGUCUGAUGUGAAAAGCCCACGGCUCAACCGUGGAGGGUCAUUGGAAACUGGGGGAACUUAGUGCAGAAGAGGAAAAGUGGAAUUCCACGUGUAGCGGUGAAAUGCGUAGAGAUGUGGAGGAACACCAGUGGCGAAGGCGACUUUCUGGUCUGUAACUGACAUGAGGCGCGAAAAGCGUGGGGGAGCAAACAGGG
rnacentral:rRNA from 1 species